rnacentral:rRNA from 1 species
UACGUAGGGGGCAAGCGUUGUCCGGAAUUAUUGGGCGUAAAGAGCGCGUAGGCGGUCCGGUAAGUCGGCUGAUGAAAGUCAAGGGCUCAACCCUUGAAAGCCGGCCGAUACUGUCGGACUAGAGUCCGGAAGAGGCGAGUGGAAUUCCCGAUGGUGUGGUGGAAAUGCGCGAUAUCGGGAGGAACACCGAUGGCGAAGGCGCGAGUCC